UCCCUCAUAGCUCAGUCGGUAAAGAAUCUGCCUGCAAUGCAGGGGACCCAGGUUCGAAUCCUGGGUUGGGAA
rnacentral:tRNA from 1 species